UGCAAGUCGAACGGUGUCUUCGGACACAGUGGCGGACGGGUGAGUAACGCGUGAGAAUCUGCCUUCAGGUCUGGGACAACCACUGGAAACGGUGGCUAAUACCGGAUGUGCCGAGAGGUGAAAGGUUAACUGCCUGAAGAUGAGCUCGCGUCUGAUUAGCUAGUUGGUAGAGUAAGAGCCUACCAAGGCGACGAUCAGUAGCUGGUCUGAGAGGAUGAUCAGCCACACUGGGACUGAGACACGGCCCAGACUCCUACGGGAGGCAGCAGUGGGGAAUUUUCCGCAAUGGGCGAAAGCCUGACGGAGCAAUACCGCGUGAGGGAGGAAGGCUCUUGGGUCGUAAACCUCUUUUCUCAGGGAAGAACAAAAUGACGGUACCUGAGGAAUAAGCAUCGGCUAACUCCGUGCCAGCAGCCGCGGUAAUACGGAGGAUGCAAGCGUUAUCCGGAAUGAUUGGGCGUAAAGCGUCCGCAGGUGGCUAUGUAAGUCUGCUGUUAAAGCGUCUAGCUCAACUAGAUAAAAGCAGUGGAAACUACAAGGCUAGAGUACGUUCGGGGCAGAGGGAAUUCCUGGUGUAGCGGUGAAAUGCGUAGAGAUCAGGAAGAACACCGGUGGCGAAGGCGCUCUGCUAGGCCGUAACUGACACUGAGGGACGAAAGCUAGGGGAGCGAAUGGGAUUAGAUACCCCAGUAGUCCUAGCCGUAAACGAUGGAUACUAGGCGUGGCUUGUAUCGACCCGAGCCGUGCCGUAGCUAACGCGUUAAGUAUCCCGCCUGGGGAGUACGCACGCAAGUGUGAAACUCAAAGGAAUUGACGGGGGCCCGCACAAGCGGUGGAGUAUGUGGUUUAAUUCGAUGCAACGCGAAGAACCUUACCAAGGCUUGACA
rnacentral:rRNA from 1 species